rnacentral:rRNA from 1 species
GGCUCAGAACGAACGCUGGUGGCGUGUCUUAUACAUGCAAGUCGAGCGAGGUAGCAAUACCUAGCGGCGAACGGGUGAGUAACGCGUAAGCAAUCUGCCCCAUAUCAGGAAAUACCCGUGCCAACGCGCGGUUAAUGUCCAGGAGCGUGGCCUUCCGCAUGGAAGGUUGACAAGAGAUUUAUCGGUAUGGGAUGAGCUUGCGUCCGAUUAGCUAGUUGGCGGGGUAACGGCCCACCAAGGCGACGAUCGGUAGCCGGCCUGAGAGGGUGAUCGGCCACAUUGGGACUGAGAUACGGCCCAGACUCCUACGGGAGGCAGCAGUAGGGAAUAUUGCACAAUGGGGGAAACCCUGAUGCAGCAACGCCACGUGUGGGAAGAAGCAUUUCGGUGUGUAAACCACUGUCGUGAGGGAAUAAGGCAUUGUUUCGGCGAUGUUGAAUGUACCUCGAAAGGAAGCACCGGCAAACUUCGUGCCAGCAGCCGC